UGGGGAAUAUUGGACAAUGGGCGCAAGCCUGAUCCAGCAAUGCCGCGUGUGUGAAGAAGGCCUUCGGGUUGUAAAGCACUUUUAUCAGGAGCGAAACGCUGUCGGCUAAUACCCGGCGGAACUGACGGUACCUGAGGAAUAAGCACCGGCUAACUUCGUGCCAGCAGCCGCGGUAAUACGAAGGGUGCAAGCGUUAAUCGGAAUUACUGGGCGUAAAGCGUGCGUAGGCGGUUUCUUAAGUCUGCUGUGAAAUCCCCGGGCUCAACCUGGGAAUGGCAGUGGAUACUGGGAGGCUAGAGUGUGUCAGAGGGUGGUGGAAUUCCCGGUGUAGCGGUGAAAUGCGUAGAGAUCGGGAGGAACAUCAGUGGCGAAGGCGGCCACCUGGGACAACACUGACGCUNAGGCACGAAAGCGUGGGGAGCAAACAGGAUUAGAUACCCUGGUAGUCCACGCCCUAAACGAUGCGAACUGGAUGUUGGUCUCAACUCGGAGAUCAGCGUCGAAGCUAACGCGUUAAGUUCGCCGCCUGGGGAGUACGGUCGCAAGACUGAAACUCAAAGGAAUUGACGGGGUCAU
rnacentral:rRNA from 1 species